rnacentral:rRNA from 1 species
GACGUAGGUGGCGAACGUUAUCCGGAAUUAUUGGGCGUAAAGGGUGCGUAGAUGGUCGAAUAAGUUAGUGGUGGGAAAUCGAGGCCUAACCUCGUGGAAACUAUUAAUACUAUCCGACUGGAGGACAGGAGAGGUUGACGGAACUCUUUGUGUAGGGGUAAAAUGCGCAGAUAUCAGGAGGAACACCGGUGGCGAAGGCGGGUCUCUGGGCAGUAACUGACGCUGAGGAGCGAAAGCGUGGGGAGCGAACAGG